rnacentral:rRNA from 1 species
GACGAACGCUGGCGGCGUGCUUAACACAUGCAAGUCGAACGGAAAGGCCCUGCUUGCAGGGUGCUCGAGUGGCGAACGGGUGAGUAACACGUGGGUGAUCUGCCCCUUACUUUGGGAUAAGCCUGGGAAACUGGGUCUAAUACUGGAUAGGACCAUGCUGUAGGUGGUGUGGUGGAAAGAUUAGUUUCGGUAAGGGAUGAGCUCGCGGCCUAUCAGCUUGUUGGUGGGGUAAUGGCCAACCAAGGCGUCGACGGGUAGCCGGCCUGAGAGGGUGGACGGCCACAUUGGGACUGAGAUACGGCCCAGACUCCUACGGGAGGCAGCAGUGGGGAAGAUUGCACAAUGGGCGCAAGCCUGAUGCAGCGACGCCGCGUGGGGGAUGACGGCCUUCGGGUUGUAAACUCCUUUCAGCCAUGACGAAGCCCUUGUGGUGACGGUAGUGGUAGAAGAGGCACCGGCUAACUACGUG